rnacentral:rRNA from 1 species
AGGGUUUGAUCCUGGCUCAGAACGUACGCUGGCGGCACGCCUAACACAUGCAAGUCGAACGAAGUAGCAAUACUUAGUGGCAGACGGGUGAGUAACAUGUGGGUAUCUGCCCUUUGGCCUGGAAUAACACGAGGAAACUUGUGCUAAUACCGGAUAAGUCUUUACGGAGAAAGCUUUAUGCACCAUUGGAUGAGCCCGCACUUGAUUAGUUUGUUGGUGGGGUAAUGGCCUACCAAGACUUUGAUCAAUAGCUGAUUUGAGAGGAUGAUCAGCCACAUUGGGACUGAGACACGGCCCAAACUCCUACGGGAGGCAGCAGUGGGGAAUCUUGCACAAUGGAGGAAACUCUGAUGCAGCGAUGCCGCGUGAGUGAAGAAGGCCUUUGGGUUGUAAAGCUCUUUCGUCGGGGAAGAAAAUGACUGUACCCGAAUAAGAAGGUCCGGCUAACUUCGUGCCAGCAGCCGCGGUAAUACGAAGGGACCUAGCGUAGUUCGGAAUUACUGGGCUUAAAGAGUUCGUAGGUGGUUGAAAAAGUUGGUGGUGAAAUCCCAGAGCUUAACUCUGGAACUGCCAUCAAAACUUUUCAGCUAGAGUUUGAUAGAGGAAAGCAGAAUUUCUAGUGUAGAGGUGAAAUUCGUAGAUAUUAGAAAGAAUACCGAUUGCGAAGGCAGCUUUCUGGAUCAUUACUGACACUGAGGAACGAAAGCAUGGGUAGCGAAGAGGAUUAGAUACCCUCGUAGUCCAUGCCGUAAACGAUGUGUGUUAGACGUUGGAAAUUUAUUUUCAGUGUCGCAGCGAAAGCGAUAAACACACCGCCUGGGGAGUACGACCGCAAGGUUAAAACUCAAAUGAAUUGACGGGGACCCGCACAAGUAGUGGAGCAUGUGGUUUAAUUCGAAGAUACGCGCAGAACCUUACCAACACUUGACAUGUUCGUCGCGACUUUAAGAGAUUAAAGUUUUCGGUUCGGCCGGACGAAACACAGGUGCUGCAUGGCUGUCGUCAGCUCGUGUCGUGAGAUGUUGGGUUAAGUCCCGCAACGAGCGCAACCCUCACUUUUAGUUGCCAUCAUUAAGUUGGGCACUCUGAAAGAACUGCCAGUGAUAAGCUGGAGGAAGGUGGGGAUGACGUCAAGUCCUCAUGGCCCUUACGUGUUGGGCUACACACGUGCUACAAUGGUAUUUACAACAGGAAGCGAAACAGCGAUGUUAAGCAAAUCCUUAAAAGAUACCUCAGUUCGGAUUGCACUCUGCAACUCGAGUGCAUGAAGCUGGAAUUACUAGUAAUCGUGGAUCAGCGUGCCACGGUGAAUGCGUUCCCGGGUCUUGUACACACCGCCCGUCACACCAUGGGAGUUGGUUCUACCUUAAGGCAAGGCAUAAAACCCUUGACCACGGUAUAGUCAGCGACUGGGGUGAAGUCAUAACAAGGUAGCCGUA